UGGGGAAUUUUGGACAAUGGCGAAAGCCUGAUCCAGCAAUGCCGCGUGUGUGAAGAAGGCCUUCGGGUUGUAAAGCACUUUUGUCCGGAAAGAAAUCCUUGGCUCUAAUACAGUCGGGGGAUGACGGUACCGGAAGAAUAAGCACCGGCUAACUACGUGCCAGCAGCCGCGGUAAUACGUAGGGUGCAAGCGUUAAUCGGAAUUACUGGGCGUAAGCGUGCGCAGGCGGUUUUGCUAAGACCGAAUGUGAAAUCCCCGGGCUCAACCUGGGAACUGCAUGGUGACUGGCAGGCUAGAGUAUGGCAGAGGGGGGUAGAAUUCCACGUGGUAGCAGUGAAAUGCGUAGAGAUGUGGAGGAAUACCGAUGGCGAAGGCAGCCCCCGGCCAAUACUGACGCUCAUGCACGAAAGCGUGGGGAGCAAAAC
rnacentral:rRNA from 1 species